GACGUAGGGCGCGAGCGUUGUCCGGAUUUAUUGGGCGUAAAGAGCUCGUAGGCGGCUUGUCGCGUCGACUGUGAAAACUCGGGGCUCAACUCCGAGCUUGCAGUCGAUACGGGCAGGCUAGAGUUCGGUAGGGGAGACUGGAAUUCCUGGUGUAGCGGUGAAAUGCGCAGAUAUCAGGAGGAACACCAAUGGCGAAGGCAGCUCGCUGGGACGUGACUGACGCUGAGACGCGAAAGCGUGGGGAGCAAACAGG
rnacentral:rRNA from 1 species